GUUCCUUUCGCUCCAGGUGGCUGCCUAAAAUUAUUUUCCAUUGUCAUCAAGCUACUCUUUGCGUCCUUUCGUCUCUCUCCACGACAGCUUUCCACAUCUCUCUGUGGGUGUCUCUCUAUCUAAGUAAUUAUUUCUCAAUUUCUAGGGUUUUUCCUUUCAAUUUCAGACCCUUCUCUAAUUCGCUUGGCGCUUCCCCUUCUUUUCACAGGAAUUCCCUCAAUUGGAGACAAAAAUUAAGGGUUCAUGAUGGAACUUCAUUGAUUGGGGUUAUUCUAUAGUUGGUGAAGGGAAGGAAAAGGUGUGGAAGGGUGUGACUAUGCUCUUAUAAGGAAAUUUUGCAGGAUAUGUGAAAACUUAUAAAGCUGCAGGAUGAGCAAUGAUGUUUUUGAUGUGCAGAUAUUAAAUGAAAAGUUGUCAAAACUCAACAACUCACAGCAGAGCAUUGAAUCUUUAUCGCGCUGGUGUAUUUUGCAUCGGAAAAAAGCAAGACAGAUUGUUGAAAUAUGGGAUAAAUUGUUCAACUCAUCCCAGAGAGAGCAACGUGUCUCUUUUCUAUAUUUAGCUAAUGACAUAUUGCAAAAUAGCAGGCGGAAGGGUAGUGAGUUUGUGAAUGAAUUCUGGAAAGUUCUUCCUGCAAUACUCAAACAGGUUUAUGAAAAUGGGGAUGAACAUGGGAAGAAAGUGGUGACUAGACUGGUUGACAUAUGGGAGGAAAGGAAGGUUUUUGGUUCUCGGGGACAGGGUCUUAAAGAUGAAAUGCUUGGUAAGAAUCCUCCUCCUCUGAUAGCGAGCAAUGGAAAGAGCUCAAACCCUAUCAAGAUAGUAAAAAGGGAUGCCCAUUCAGUAAGAAUUAAAUUGGCUGUUGGAGGUCUGCCAGAGAAGAUUCUUACGGCAUUUCAAUCAGUAAUUGAUGAACAGCUUGAUGAAGAAGCUGCUUUAAAUAAGUGUAUCACUGCUGUAUUCCACGUUGGUAAAAUUAGGGAAGAAAUGGAAAACGGUUCAACUUUAGGUAAGGAUUCUGCUCCUUCACAAUGAAGCUUCUGACGCUAAAUACUUGUAACGAGGGUUGUUGUGUUGUGGUAUAUUUUUAAGCUAUUAGUUUUAUUCUACCUUGAAAUGCUAUAUUUGUUGUUAUUUAAUGAUGGAUAUGCAAAUUAUAAAUGCCGCAAAUGUGCUGUUGUACAUGUACAGAAAUAUAGAACAGCUGUUAAGUUCUCUUUUUAUUGUUUGUCUUCUUAUGAUCAGUUUUGUACAUCAUAUUUUGAUUUAUUAGGAAAUCAACAAGGUUCCGCAUUUGUGGAUGAGUUACAAGUGCAGGAAAAUGUCCUCCAGCAAUGUUUGGGGAAGCUUGAAAGUGCUGAAGCAACCAGGGCUAUGUUGAUUUCCCAGCUUAAAGAGGCUCUUCAGGACCAAGUAAAUUUUUUUAACGAUUAGUUCUUUUGAUAUUUUAUGGUCUAUUUUACUUCUUUGCUGACUAAUUUAACCUUUUUCAGGAAUCAAAGCUGGAUGCUAUUCGUUCUCAGUUAGAAGUAAGAGUUAAUUUCUAUUGCGUCAUCAAAUUAAAGCUGUAUAGGUCUAACGGGGAUUAUAAAUACGUAGAAUUAAGAUAAAGGUUAAUUGAACCCUUGGUGAUAGUAAAUUGUUUGGCCUUAUGAAGUAGAGGAAUGCUUCCAUGUGCCUUUUUAGAGUUCAACUAGAGUUGUCACUUUAGUCCUGUUUUGUGUUGAAAAUUUUUGCACUUCAGAGGUAACAUGUAUGAUUAUUGAGAAAAUGAGCUUGCAUGCCUUCUACAAAAGUUAAAAGCGCCAAAUUGGCAAAUUGAAUGAACGUAAUAAAAUUUUAGGAGACAUGAUGAUCAAUAAUGGAGCAUAAAACUGUUAAAGCAUUGUGGUCUAUCAUAGGUCAGGAAGGAUGUUGUCUCAAAUUUAUAUCGCUAAAUACAUUGAACUGACAAUAUCAUUUUGAAAUGGCACUGCGACCCCCGUCUUUGAAUUAUGGCCUCCCUCCCCCUCCCUUCACAGUAGCAGCAGGAAAAAGUUGAUUUUGACUGGAUAUAUUAGUUUGAAGUUUGAACAUUGGUAGAGAAUACGGGAGAUAUAUAAAUAUAAAUCAAAAUUUUCUGACCCUAACAUUUACCAAAACUUUUGGUGGUGACAAGUUUCAGGUAACGGAUCAGUGAAGAAAAUUACUGGGGAUUAUAGGGAAUUUAUGGAUUGGUAGAUGCAGAGAAAGUUGCAGAGAUGAUAUGUAAAAUUAUGCCUUAAAAAUUAACAAUAUUCAGCAAAAAUAAAAGUUUUAUGUAACGAGUGCCAUUGUCAACCAAUCUCCCUUGUCACUCAAAGCCAAUCUCCCAUUUUUUGUGUUGUGAAAGCAGAAAGCACUUGUUAGGUGAAUUUACAAUAAACUUGGUUGGCCUGUAAGUUGGGUGAGGUCUAUCAAGUCAAUGUGUGGUUGAGACUUGAGAGGCUUGUCAAGAAUUGGCUUGGCUUUUCUUUGAGAGCUGAGUGGUAGGUUGUAUAAGUUUCCUCUUAGGGAGUCGAUCUUGAGCCUAGCUCACUGACUUUGACCCUUUUUUGUCAAUUUUUUUGAAGUGUCUUUAUUGUAGUUAAUACAACUAUAUCAUAGGCAUAGAGCUGCAUUUGCUUUCAAGGAUUUGCCUUUGACAUCUUUGACAAUUGAGUUAUUGACAUUGUGUAUGCUAGGUCUCGAAACUUAUAUCUCCGCUCUUAGAUGUUUGUGUGCUUGAUUGUAUAACUAAUCAGGAUGCUAGUGAACUUUGAAAGACAUGAAAGGGGAUAGUGUGGCUGGCGGAGGGAGAAAGAUGUACCAAUUACCAAAUCCAAACUGUUUUAACUGUAUUCCUGUUCAGUUAUUCUUGCGGAGCAUCUAUGUACUUAUGCUUUUUCAUUAAUUUGAUAUAUAUGAUGUUUGCAGGUUGCUCGACGCCAAAUUGAGCAAGCAGUCAAUCUGAGAAAUAGGUUGACAUCUCCCAUUGUUCCUGGCCCCACCACUUCCAUACCAAUGCCAGAUGCUGCCAAGGUUAUUGAGCACAAUACACCUCCUGUUCAGCCAACUAGCACUCCACCUCAGCCUACCCUUGGACAACCUGUGGUUUCUUUUGCACCAAUGAAAACUACAGAUGAGGAGAACAAGAAAGCAGCAGCAGCAGCUGUUGCUGCUAAGCUUGCUGCCUCUACAUCCUCAGCACAAAUGCUUACGUCUGUUCUUUCGUCUCUUGUUGCUGAGGAAGCUGCCUCCAUGAAUGGUGGCUUAAAAUCAACUGGAUUUACCACAGCCUUGGCCAUGUUUUCUCCAGAGAAACGACCAAAACUUGAGAAACCAAUGCCAGUAUCUGAUAGUAAUUCUGAUAUAGGUAAUACAGCCUACUUUAAUCCUUUACAACAGCAACCAGGGACAACUAUGCCUCUUGUGCCGCCAUCUUCAAGCAUGCAAUCCAUGUCCCCAUCGCACCAGAUACAAACUUCAUUUGGUGCUUUACCACCAUUGCCACCUCCACCACCUUUAUCUCCAGCCAAUGCACCAGCGAAUCAGUAUGUCCAGUCUUCUGGUAUGAUGAUGGGGGUAGUGCCUUACGGAUAUGGAGCUAAUGCACUACCACCCCCACCCCCUUUACCCCCACAUAUUGCAAUGGGAUUGGCAAGGCCUGCUGCUCAGUCAUCACUACAGUCGCAACCUCAGCAAGCACAGCAGCAGCAGACACCAGCAACUGGAGGAUACUACAGGCCACCAGGCAUUGGAUUCUAUGGACAAAACCAUCAAGCGGCUACACCACCAGUACCUCGGCAGUGAGUCUCCUUUUGAAACCAAUGGGCCAAAUGGCGUUCAAUGGGUCAUUGGUUUUAUGGUUCAAAAUCAUCAGUAAACUCCACAAUUAGCUUAGGGAUGAAUGCCUGUUGAAAUAUCACCGAGCCUGGAGGGUCUCCUCUUUUGUGAUAUCGUGUAUAUUUAAUAGAAAAGUAGGUACAUCUAUAGGCUUUAUUUUAAGUCUGUCAAGAUGCGCAUUACCCCCUUCUUCCUCCCAGUCAGAAUCUUAAUCUAUUGAAUCAAGUAUCUGUUGGGUUAAAUAGGGAGCUCUUCACAGAUGGAAUUUUCCUAGAUAGCUGUAUCUUAAACUAACUGUUCAUUACCAUUAGCAACAUAUUAUUUGUACUGCUUGCUUAUGGAAGCCUUGCAACGGAUUUUCGUUGAUCUGUGAUUAAUUUUGGAAUUUGCUUGUGUUUUGUUAGUUGAAUAGGGGCAUUAGUUGUGGCUGCCCAAGUAGGUGCUUUAUGUGGUCUGGUUUUUAUUUAAGACUCAUUGUUCAAAUUGGAUCGAUCUGAUCCUGUUUCUGAAUUGGACUGUAGGCGGGUGUAACCAAAAGGUUCCUAGUGCAAUUUUGCUGUUGAACCAACUAGAAUUGGACUGUUAGAAUGGAAAACCUGCAAGUGGGAGAUAAUUGUUAUCUCAUGAAGGACAUCCUAUUCCUAUUUCCGCCAUGAUGAGAAGAAUUUGGAAAAUAUUGUUUUGUUUCUUCCCCACAAUUGGUUAAUUUGUUAUUGUUGCUUAG
rnacentral:misc_RNA from 1 species